AACGAACGCUGGCGGCAGGCUUAACACAUGCAAGUCGAGCGGUAAGGCCCUUUCGGGGGUACACGAGCGGCGAACGGGUGAGUAACACGUGGGUGACCUGCCCUCAGCUCUGGGAUAAGCCUGGGAAACCGGGUCUAAUACUGGAUAUGACUCCAUGACGCAUGUUGUGGGGUGGAAAGCCUUGUGCGGCUGAGGAUGGGCCCGCGGCCUAUCAGCUUGUUGGUGGGGUGANGGCCUACCAAGGCGACGACGGGUAGCCGGCUUGAGAGGGCGACCGGCCACACUGGGACUGAGACACGGCCCAGACUCCUACGGGAGGCAGCAGUGGGGAAUCUUGCGCAAUGGGCGAAAGCCUGACGCAGCGACGCCGCGUGAGGGAUGACGGCCU
rnacentral:rRNA from 1 species